rnacentral:ncRNA from 12 species
GCAUCACAGGUCUGUGGCUGAAAGUCGAUGGCAGUCGCAGCCAAAACGAUCCACGUAACGCAGUCAAAAGGGCUGCUGAGCAUGGUGCGGUUUAGAAGUAAGUCCCUGCCGGGGAAAACCGAGAGAGUGAGUUGUGAGAAGGCAAGCGCCGGGUAGCUAAAGCUCCAGCAGGCGAGUGUGGGGGUCAAAAGCCAGGUCAGCUGUAGAUGC